UAAUUUUUUGGUGUUGAUGAGAAUCUUGAAGUUGGAGUGUCAAUCUUACACUAUUUGGAGUUGAUCUAACACUGCAUUUUCUUAAAAAUGUUAAAUUUAACACUGGAUCAUGAAAGUGUUGUAGUUAAAAUGGAGUGUUGAAAAUGUUUAAAUCUUGUUAGUGUCACAAUAAAGACAUUCAACACUUCCACACUCCAUUUAACGCCGAACAGUGUUCACGUCCACGGACAUUUCAUUUAGACUCCACCCCUCACGUCACGUUGCUGAUGGAAGAAGUUGACAAUUAGGAAUCAUUUUGCAUCAGUAGAGGUGGAUGGAGAUGUGUAGACUCCACUCUUCACCCCAGUUAUCGCCAGUUGGUGGUGAGCCUCCACUCUUGCCGACUACAUCCCAUUCAUUAGGUUCGACAAUUUAUCCUUCAGCCCACAAGAGGAACCCAACAGAACCAAUGGAUCAGGAUGAAGCAUGACGGAAAGUCGGUGGUGUUUUGAGGGCCAAUCCGAAAGGUGAGGAAAUCUUCAAGGAGUGCACCAAGACUGAAACACUAACCGAUGCAAGGUGUAAACAGAUGGUGAACAUCCUGGUUGCAGAUAUGAUGGAGCUGCAUGGGAGGGUUCCGCCAUCAUGUGUGAUGAGAAAUUACGCCCUGAGAAUUGUGACUUGUUUUCCAUACCUAAAAGAUCCAUUCUCCAAACCUGGAUAUGAUGCUUAGCUUAGCGGCAGUGGCUCAAGAGGUAGAGCAGGUCGUCCAGAAAUCGUAAGCUGUUUGGUGAGGCGUGCAGGGAGGCACUAUCUACAAUAAGACAUUCAACUGAUGAAUCCGUGGUCAAAGAAGAUGAGAGCAACUUUCCAGUAUCGACAGAAUAUGAUCCAAGCACAAGAUGUAUCAUCGUCUGUUCUCAAUGUGUUCACUCGCUUCCUUGAUGUUCCUGGAUUGAUUGACCAGGAUUUCUCAAUGAUGUUUGGUGAUGAAGUAUCUCAGAGGUUCCUGGCUAAGUGGUCAACUGUCUUCAAACCAAAAGUCAUUGCAGACUUCAAGACUCUCCCGCAAAAGCAGAACAUUGAUGAGUUGCUGUCAGGAACUGAACCUCAACCUGAUGACAGCUGUGGGUGAGAAGUUACGGUAUAGAUUACCAUGUUGGUGUGUUCAAAUGUACUGGAUGUAGCUUUGAUCUACCUAUGUUCAAGAAGAUCUGUGAUAUAAUAAAACACAAAGAAUGUGCUUUCACAAUAGCUGUAAUGUAGAAACGAUGUACUAUGAGGACCUGUUUAACGCGUACUGCAUAGAAGACCAAAUGCUUGAGUUUUCUGUCAUGUUUAAAUGAACUGACUCAUUUCAGACCAUUUGACAAGCAGUGCUCGAAUGACAAUUGUCAAAAAGCAAACAUACUGUAGUGCCCUGCUGUUAUUUAAGCUGUCUGUUGCAAAUGAAAUGUUUUUGAAUAAAAUGUAUGAA